rnacentral:rRNA from 1 species
CGCGAUGACUGAGCGUCUACCGCCUGCAAUGUUGCAAGAAGUCCACCGAACCUUAUCAUUUAGAGGAAGGAGAAGUCGUAACAAGGUUUUCGUAGGUGAACCUGUCGAAGGAUCAUUG